rnacentral:rRNA from 1 species
CAUGUAGGCGGCAUGACAAGUCUGGUGUGAAAUAUCUCGGCUCAACCGAGAAAACGCACUGGAAACUGUCAAGCUUGAGUAUCGGAGGGGAAGCUAGAAUUCCUGGUGUAGGGGUGAAAUCUGUAGAUAUCAGGAAGAAUACCGGUGGCGAAGGCGAGCUUCUGGCCAGAUACUGACGCUGAGAUGCGAAAGCGUGGGGAGCGAACAGGAUUAGAUACCCUGGUAGUC